GAAACUAACAGGGAUUCCCUUAGUAGUGGCGAACGAAACGGGAUCAGCCCAUCACGUAGGAUCAUAGGCUUAAUUGUCUAUUGAUCGAUUCCGUGUAAAGGAGGGACCAUUAUCUUGCACAUAUAAACAUCAUAUUUAAGUCCAGCUUGAAUGCGGCCCAAUAUAUCCAAAGAGGGUGCCAGGCCCGUAUAUGUAUGAUGCUUGUGUAAGUGGUCUACAAACUCCUAGGAGUCAUGUUGCUUGAUAGUGCAGCAUUAAGUGGGAGGUAAACUCCUUCUAAGGCUAAAUAUUACCAUGAGACCGAUAGCGAACAAGUACCGUGAGGGAAAGUUGAAAAGCACUCUGAAUAGAGAGUCAAAUAGUACGUGAAACUGUCUUGGGGCUCAAACCUAAAGAACCUAAAUAUCUAAACGGAGAAAUUCAAUACUACCGUUAAACGUAGUGUGCACUUUUCUCUUAGUAAGACGCCGUGAUCCAUUAGAAAUUGAUACAUACAAAAUGUAUAUUGGUCAUCAAUAGGUCAAUAUGAAGUUUAUUGGAACAAAUGUCAUAAUCUUUUACGGUUGUGUGUAUUGUCUGGUAAGCAUAUUGUGUCCUGUAAUGACUGUCUGAUGGAUUUUAAAGAUGAUAUCAAUGAUGUUACGGCAUCACUUAUUUUUUAAUAAGAAUUCGAUAUGUGUCUGAUCAACGGCGGUUAAAUUUGGGAUACCUUUUGGACCCGUCUUGAAACACGGA
rnacentral:rRNA from 1 species